rnacentral:rRNA from 1 species
ACUGAACGCUGGCGGCAGGCUUAACACAUGCAAGUCGAGCGGGGGAAGGUAGCUUGCUACCGGACCUAGCGGCGGACGGGUGAGUAAUGCUUAGGAAUCUGCCUAUUAGUGGGGGACAACAUCUCGAAAGGGAUGCUAAUACCGCAUACGUCCUACGGGAGAAAGCAGGGGAUCUUCGGACCUUGCGCUAAUAGAUGAGCCUAAGUCGGAUUAGCUAGUUGGUGGGGUAAAGGCCUACCAAGGCGACGAUCUGUAGCGGGUCUGAGAGGAUGAUCCGCCACACUGGGACUGAGACACGGCCCAGACUCCUACGGGAGGCAGCAGUGGAGAAUAUUGGACAAUGGGGGGAACCCUGAUCCAGCCAUGCCGCGUGUGUGAAGAAGGCCUUAUGGUUGUAAAGCACUUUAAGCGAGGAGGAGGCUACUCUAGUUAAUACCUAGGGAUAGUGGACGUUACUCGCAGAAUAAGCACCGGCUAACUCUGUGCCAGCAGCCGCGGUAA